rnacentral:ncRNA from 1 species
CUGAGAGUGUCCGAGAGGCCUCUCAGUCUCUAAUUAUAGCUAUAUGCUGUAGUUAGAGAUUAAUGCCACGAUUUAUUUAUCCGAAUUAAUAGUAGGAAAAAUUACUCUGAAUUAACAGAGUACUCAAGAGCCUUGAGCCAGAGUGGAAAAUUCUGAGCCACUGAUCA